rnacentral:lncRNA from 1 species
UUAGAAGUUAGCAUUUCAAAAGAUUGCUUUUUUAAAAGUCUUUACCUAUUUUCUUCAAAAACCACAUUACAUAUAUAAUCAGAUUCAGGCACAAAAUUCAACUUACAUGAACAUCAUAAACCCUGUGCGUGAAAUGCACUAACAACCACAAAUCUUUCAUUAACGUUAAGUAUAAAUCAAUCCAAUCUACUCUAUUGAUCAAUCAUAAAUUUCGCUAUACGCACCUGUAAUAGCAACAUAGAAUACACUCGG